UACAGAGGGUGCGAGCGUUGUCCGGAAUCACUGGGCGUAAAGGGCGCGUAGGCGGCCCGGUGCGCGUGCCGUGAAAGCCCGGGGCUCAACCCCGGGUCGGCGGUGCGGACGGCCGGGCUGGAGCACAUCAGAGGCAGGCGGAAUUCCGGGUGUAGCGGUGGAAUGCGUAGAGAUCCGGAAGAACACCGGUGGCGAAGGCGGCCUGCUGGGGUGUGGCUGACGCUGAGGCGCGAAAGCGUGGGGAGCAAACAGG
rnacentral:rRNA from 1 species